UUCCCUUUAGACGAUGCUCUCAGAAAACAAAAAAAUUGGAACAUUCUGAUCGUUCUCGUUCGAAAGGGAGUAUAAGCCUUGGGCAUAAUACCUUGCAUUUGAAUAAGGCUAAAUUUUUCCUCCUUCAAGAGGACUGAAUUAACGGUUAUGAAGGUAGUAAAACGUGUUGAGAAUGUUAAGGCAUUAGGAAUGCAUCUUGACAUAGGAAGUAGUUAAGAGGUUUCCAUGCGUACGUUAAACUCUUGAAUGCACGACGUAGGGACGCCGGAAAAGGCAAGAAUUUUCUAUUCAUACAAACAUGUUUACCGUUUGAUUUCGCAUUAAUGACCAUUUUGAAAUGCGUAAAAACAUUUUUUUGAAAGUGAGACUACGUAGCUUGGAAAAGAAACUCUUUUGAAGUACGUUGACUGGCUUGGUGCAUUGUAAACUCAAUAAUCGUAAAGUAGCAAAUGAGUCUUUAAUGGACUGGAAGAAACCUUUCAGUUGGUUUAACCAGUUUCAGCUCCUACAGUGUGACUAUGCCUUUCAUUUAUAAUUUGGUGCAUUUGGAUCAAUUCACUGGAAAAACCUGUGUGCUUCUACAGUUCCAUUUCUACUUAAUGUCCUAAGAGAAACUAGUACGAAUGUGGGCGCCGUGUCGCUACGAUCAUGGACACGAAUGAACUAGUAACAAACGCCAGCCACAAGGGAAAAGGCUGACUUGAAAAAGAAAAUAUUCAUUACCACUAGGUUCCGAGACUUAUUGACACGAGCAACCGCUUCCAAAGCUUCUAAACUUAGAGGGAAACAAGCAUAAUACUAAAAUGCCGUUUUACAAUUUUAUUUUAUGAAUGCAUCUCUGUCGUGCUUCAAAGGAAAGUCUUCAUUCCACUCUCUUCCCGAAUUCAAACACUUGAAUUUUGUAUUUGCUAAAUUUUAUUACACAUAUUGAAUUCGCUCCGACCUCGUGGUCUUCAAUCACUGAUAAUUGAAUAUAUACAUCAAAUAU